rnacentral:misc_RNA from 1 species
CACCACUAUGUUGCAACUGGCCAAGUUGAGGAUGACCUAUUGUUUGCUGCCAAUAAUCUGUUGAUGGAAGUUGAAAAAGAUGCAAAGACAAGUAAGGACUCGGAUUAUUCCAAGAUUUUGAGUUCCAUAUUAAGUUCUAUAUUGGAUUGGGCAGAGAAAAGGCUUCUCUCUUACCAUGAUAGUUUUCAUAGUGAUAAUAUAGAAUCCAUGCAAAUCGUUGCUUCUGUGGCUGUUGUGGCAGCAAAUAUACUGGUAGAAGAUAUCUCCCAUGAGUAUCGUAGGAAAAGGAAAGAAGUUGAUAUAGCCCGUGAUAGGAUUGAAACUUACAUUAGAUCAUCACUGCGAGCAGCUUUUUGUCAGAAAUUGGAAAAGUUUAACUCAAGCAAGCAUUUGAGACACCAGCAGAAUCCCCUUCCUGUCCUGUCCAUCCUUGCACAAGACAUUUGUGAACUGGCUUUUAACGAGAAGGCAAUAUUUAGUCCAAUACUUAAGAGAUGGCAUCCUCUCGCAGCAGGUGUAGCAGUAGCCACCCUUCAUUCUUGCUAUGGGAAUCAAUUUGUUUCGGGUAUUAGUGAAUUGACACCUGAUGCAAUACAAGUGCUGAGUGCUGCUGACAAAUUGGAGAAAGAUCUUGUGCAGAUUGCAGUUGGAGAUUCUGUGGACAGUGAGGAUGGUGGAAAGUCAAUAAUUCAAGCGAUGCCUCCUUAUGAGGCUGAAGCUUUAAUCGCCAAUCUUGUUAAGUCAUGGAUAAGGACAAGAAUUGACAGGCUGAAGGAAUGGGUAGAUAGGAAUUUGCAACAAGAGGUAUGGAAUCCACGGGCAAACAAAGAGCGAUUUGCUCCUUCUGCCGUUGAAGUUUUACGAAUUGUAGAUGAAACUUUGGAGGCAUUCUUCCUGUUGCCAAUACCUAUGCAUCCGACCUUGCUUCCUGACUUGAUCACUGGGCUUGACAGAUGUCUUCAAAAUUAUGUAUUGAAGACUAAAUCUGGCUGUGGGGCCCGAAGUACUUUCACAUCUAGUCAAUGCAGGCAUAGUAGGUGUACAGCAGGAUCAAAAUUUCAUGUAUUUAAAAAGAAGGAGAAGUCUCGUGUAGCCCAGCGAAGGAAAUCUCAGGUUGGAUCUACUAAUGGGGAUGCCUCCAGUGGGGUACCCCAGCUAUGUGUACGUAUUAAUGCUUUGCAGCAUGUUCGCAUGCAAUUGGAAGUUUUGGAAAAGAAGACAGUUGUUCAACUGAGGAAUUCUAAAUCAAGUUAUGUGGAUGAUUUUGCUAAUGGAUUGGGGAAAAAGUUUGAGCUUUCAGCAGCUGCAUGUGUUGAAGGGAUCCAACAACUCUGUGAGGCAACAGCAUAUAAGGUUGUCUUCCAUGACCUAAGUCAUGUUCUUUGGGAUGGACUAUAUGUUGGAGAAGUUUCAUCUUCGAGGAUUGAGCCUUUUCUUCAGGAACUUGAGCAGUAUUUGGAAAUUAUUUCAUCUACAGUGCAUGACAGGGUUAGAACACGCGUUAUCACUGAUGUGAUGAAAGCAUCCUUUGAAGGGUUUCUGCUGGUUUUGCUUGCUGGAGGUCCUUCUCGGGCUUUCACUCUGCAGGAUUCUGAAAUGAUUGAGGAUGAUUUUAAAUUUCUCACAGAUCUGUUCUGGUCUAAUGGUGAUGGAUUGCCAACUGAGUUAAUAGAUAAGUUUUCAACAACAGUUAAAGGUGUCCUCCCCCUAUUUCGUACUGACACUGAGAGUCUAGUUGAGCUAUUCAGAAGUCUUACUCUGGAGAGUUACGGCUCUUCUGGUAAAUCCAGGUUUCCAUUGCCUCCGACUUCAGGCCAGUGGAAUCCUACUGAACCAAAUACACUAUUGCGAGUUUUGUGUUAUCGGAGUGAUGAAACUGCUGCAAAGUUCCUGAAGAAGACUUACAACUUGCCUAAGAAACUAUAACCACCAUUGAUAUAUGGAGGGCGGCAAAAUAUUGCGAUUCUCAGGUGAAGAAGUGCUGUGAAACGAUUGUUGUGGCUUUGGUAGUAUGUAUUUUAUCUUGGCAUCGUAGGCUCCAAUGACACGGUUUUGUUUUGGGGAGCAUUUAUUGGAGUGACUGUACCCAUAGAUUGGAUAAUUUACUAAUUAUUUGGUGCUAAGCAAGCAGUCCUCCAUUGAGAUGGCACAAUGAGAGAUUUGAUCUACAUGGUAAGACUGGCUUGGCUUUUUUUCUUUUUUUCUUUUUUUUAAUAAAAAAAAUCUUAUACUCAUCCUCGUACAUCUUUCGCUGUGGAAACUGACUGCUGGGAACAAAGAUAAAUAUUUAAUAAUUAAUUGUGAUAAAUUUGAGAGCUCUGUGAUAAAUUUGAGAGAUGUUGUUUUCGAGUUUCUAGAUUGACAGAUUGAGC